AAAGGGGCUUCCGGAAUGGUGACGUUCUGGGGGCCUUUUUUCUUGC
rnacentral:antisense_RNA from 1 species